UUAAGUUUGGCAGCUCGUAAAAUAGGUUGGCUGAAGGGCUGCAGGCCAAUCAUUUGUAUUGAUGGCACGUUCAUAAAGACAAAGUAUGGUGGCCAAUUACUCACUGUAGUUGGUAUUGAUGGCAAUGACUCAAUUUAUCCUAUUGCAAUGGCAGUGAUGGAGGCAGAAUAUUAUGCAUCUUGGAACUGGUUCCUUUGUACACUGAAGCAAGACCUCAACAUAAUUAACACAAGCACAGUCACUAUCAUGAGUGACAAACAGAAGGGGCUAAUCAAGGCUGUCAAUGAGCAGUUUUGUGACUCAGAGCAUAGGUUUUGUGUGAGACACUUAUACCAAAACUUGCAUUCAGUGCACAAAGGUGAGACAAUAAGACAACAAGUGUGGGCUUGUGCCAAAUCCACUACACCAACCAUGUUUGAACGAAACAUGGAGAAACUGAAGCAAGAUAACCCAGAAUCUUAUGCUUGGUUGGAAGAUAAAGCACCAAAUCAAUGGUCAAGGGCUUUUUUUCGUGAGCUUCCUAAAUGUGACAUUCUAUUG
rnacentral:rRNA from 1 species